UACGAAGGGGGCUAGCGUUGCUCGGAAUCACUGGGCGUAAAGGGUGCGUAGGCGGGUCUUUAAGUCAGGGGUGAAAUCCUGGAGCUCAACUCCAGAACUGCCUUUGAUACUGAAGAUCUUGAGUUCGGGAGAGGUGAGUGGAACUGCGAGUGUAGAGGUGAAAUUCGUAGAUAUUCGCAAGAACACCAGUGGCGAAGGCGGCUCACUGGUCCGAUACUGACGCUGAGGUGCGAAAGCGUGGGGAGCAAACAGG
rnacentral:rRNA from 1 species